UAUAGUCCAACGACACUUCCCGCUUUUAUGGAUUCGUUUUCGUUUAAAGAAAGACUCUUCUAAAGGAAAAUCCAGUCAAGAUAGAGAGGUCUGUGGUCCGGUCUUCAAGCGCUUCAUUGUUCGGCCCCUCCAGACUACCAAGGCAACCGUUACAAAUUGGCGAUAAACAUUUAACCACCACGGAGACAAUGAGUUCAUUAUGCGUUAACGUAGAGAAGAAGUGAAUUGGUCGGCAGAUACAUAAAGGGUAGACCUCAAAGAAAACCCGUCACAGAUUGGGUCAUUGAUAUUGUAGGUAAUGCGGAAUAAUGUUGAAGACCAGAGCUGUGCUAUUGCGCCACACUAAAGACACGCUAACUCUGGAAACUAUUACUGCUGUGGGAAAGCAUUUCAGGAUUCCUACAACCUUAGAAUGCAUAAGGCCUCAAAGCACGAAGGACCCGAAUGUCACGUGUGUGUACAGUGCGGUAGGAGCUUUGCGGAGAAGUACCUACUCGCGGCUCACGAAAAAAGUGCAAACAAGAGGAAUUGGUGAAAAGUUACCAAUGUGGGUUGGCAGUUAGGAGUGAGAAUGACCUCAACGAGCACGUCAAGACCCACCUGCCGGACAAGUGUUAUAGAUGUGAGGAGUGUUUCAAAACGUACCAACGCAAAAUAAAUCUUUCUCUCGACAUGAGGACCUAACAUAAAUCCGUGAAUACUGAUAAAAAAAUCACAAUAGUUUACAGUUUGUCUUUGUAACUUGAUUAUAAUCGUGGUACGUUAUUUUAUUCGUUGUUUUAUUUUAACUUUACUUUUCAAAAUGGUUCUAAUGUUAUCCGAAUUUGAUAAGUUUUUAUGUUUCGUUUAGUUCGUUUGUGUAUCUGUUGAAAUCAUUCUCAAA